CGUGAAUCAUCGAAUUUUUGAACGCAAAUUGCACUCUCCGGUUUUCCGGGAGAGUGUGCCUGUUUGAGGGUCAGCCUAAAAAAAAUCGACAUCGUUGCCGUUUUAUGGUGACUUUCGUCGGAGAUGGGUUAUCUUAAACCUUUGGUUUAAGCGACU
rnacentral:rRNA from 1 species